AAAAAGCUCAUAAAUGCUAAUUCAACUGAGGUUGAUUGGGAACGUUCCUUCUAUUUGAAUUUAGUCGCUCACACGUCAUAUACUGUCACAGUGGCAUUGUGCAGUAUCAGCAAUCUUCGCAAUCGUGCAGACAAAAGCAAGCGGUUGCCUCCAAUUUACAAGGUUUCAAAAACUGUAUAUGCAUCCCCUAGCCGUGUAAAUUUCCGCCUUGAUCAAAGAAAGGCUGUAGAGACAGUACCUGCAUAUCCGAACAUUUAUUUCUCAGUUGAUGACUUCGAUGAUCCUUUUGAUGCUGUGGUUUUGUCAGACCCAGAACACUGCUAUUGUGUGAUUCUCAAUGCGCAUGAUGGGGCAGCAUUUCCUGAAGAAAGCGAAUCAAGCAA